GGAUUAUCAGAUUUCGCUGCUCUCUUUGGUCGAAGAGGAAACCAUACCAAGGAAGACAUUUUGCCCUUUUGUAUCCAGAAGCAGUAGGCUUAUGCUGGGUAUCACCAUUGGUAUCAUUGCUGGGCGUGUCCGUAGUGGUGACAUCCGAAGAGCCGGAGUCUACUAACGCAGGAGUCACCUUGCGUAACUCCUAAUACGUGCCACGGCUAUCCCGGCGUCCGUCUCAUGUCAGCUGCUUAGAACUGAACAAGAUGAAGGACAGAAUUUGAUUUGACUCUCAUCUCUUCACUGCCACUUAUCGGUGGUUCAUCCGGUAGUGAGAUUA